GCGAUCCCGGCCUUGGCCUGCGGUGCUCAGGUGUGUGUGUGUGUCUAUAGGUGGGCACUGGUGUGGUGGUGAAAAAGAGACAGCCAAGGGGGAGCUACGCCUCCCAUGCUGUCGGGGAGGGUGGCCAGCUGAUGAAGGUGCUGUGCUGAAAGCCAGGGAAGGGUUUCUGAAAGGUGCUGGUGCCUCAGGAACGCCCUCCUGCUGCUCUCUCCAAGAAGGCCGUGGGCGGCGGCUGAGCAGCCCGGGUGCAAUGACUGAAUCCCACCCUCCACAGGAAAAGGUGUCCUUUGAUAUGGUGGAUGGUGACUCUUCUCCUGCCUGCGAGUGGUGGUUCAAACCAGCAAAGAGACUUCAGGCUUGUGGUGACCGAGGCCUUAAAACCUCACAGGGGGACAUCCUUGGAGCUCCAUGGCCAGGAAGUGCGGGAGGAAACGGGACUUUCAAAGCAGAAAAAGUAGGUCUGCUCAGAACCAGAGCUGGCCAGCCAGGCCUCUGAGGUCUCAAUGCCAGUUAAGUUUUCAAACAACAACUUCUUUUCUUCCCUGAGAAAAAUGGCUUGGGCACGCUUCCCCGGUGUGCGUUUUGUCUGACAAGAAACCCUUUUGUCCUCUGUCAGUAGAAACGCCAAGAAUAAAGCCCGAGGGGCACUGCCGGGAGACAGGUGCUGGAGCCCCGACCCCCUCUGCUGGCACCUCUGCCCGGGGUUCUCAGCUGAGCCCAGGACUCUCCCCAGGGCCUGGGCAGGCGACAGGGCAGGAGACGUCAGUCACCCCAUGGACGCCCCGGCUUUGGCAGGAAAUGGAGAUGGGUCUGUCUGGUUCAUAUAUUAAUAGGCGUCUGUCACACACCAGGUUAGGAAAUAAUCCUCCCAUUGUCAGCCUGGCUUAAUCCUGCCGUCGUCAACAUGUCUUCCGGGACCUCAUGGGGAGGGGCGCUUUCUCGGAAGAAAUCCCUUGUCAGAGGGAGAGGCAGAUGGACCUCUCUCACCGUGGGCCUGUCCCCGCCAGGAAGUCCGUGUGUCUCAUGCACGAUGUUCAAGGCGCUGAGGAAACCUGCUUUGUAACAAAUGAAAGCCUAGAUCUCUUGAAGUCACCCCUUAGGUGGUUUUUGCAGAAGUAGAGGCUUCUACAAACUGGGUUUCUUUAAAGCAAGGGGUUUUUUUUCCUGCAUUUUUAUUGGUUCCUAAAAUAGAAACAAACAGCAUGAUUCAGGAAAGGGCAAGAAGGCUUAGCCUGCUCUGAAGAAGGCCUAUGGGAUUGUCACCCAACGAUUAUCACCACCCCACCCCCCUACCCCCGCCAAACACAGCCCUUCAACCAAACCUAGCAGCUGAGAUGACCACAGUAUUUCUUUCUUUCUUUCUGGCCAUGCUGUGCAGCGCAUGGGAUCUUAAUUCCCCAACCAGGAAUUGAACCCAGGCUCCCACAGCAGAAGUGUGGAGUCCUAACCGCCGGACCACCAGGGAAGUCCUCACAAUUUGUUUUUAAUUAACCCUAAAGUGUUUUCGAAUUCAGUGAAGAAUGAGAAAAGCAGUGUCCUGAGCGCAAAGUCAAAAGCAGGUUUCUGUCAGUUGUAUGAAACCAUCACAGUGAAAACCUUUUGAGUAAAGAAACCCAAGUACAUUCUUCUAUCCUUCUGACAGGAUGUGAGUGCUGAGGGCGACCCUAGAACCACCCAAGAGGCAGGAAUGAGCCAACUUGGAUUUGGCUAAAAAAGAACAGGAAACACACAUCUAAGCACCCAGUUCACACAGUGGUAGGAAAGGAGAAACUAUAAACUCCCUCUACGAUGCUAAGUCUUUAUGGCAAAAGUGAAUUUUUUGACAGUGAAUCAUCACCUCAGAGAAGCUUCCUGCAGCCCGUGGCACCGAGCAGCCUCUUCUCAGACGCCGGGUGCCGCUUAUUCUGCUCUCGGCCUUUAUUUGCCUCCCACCUCUCCCCCAAGAAGGCUGCACUCAGCUACAGCAAUCCAUCCCAAGGAGGAGCUUCGCCUCUGAGAGAUUAAUCAUGAGCGGGGAUGUGUGAUUGAUCCUGCCACCUGCAAAGCAGGGGGACGCUGAGGCCGUCUUUUCUGCAGUAAGCAAAGUUCAGAGCUGUUUGAGUUCCGCUAGGUAAGCAGGACUCUCCAGACCUGAGCCGGUAGGCUGCCCUCUCAGCAGGAAUUCUCGCCCUGACCAUGCACAGGUGUGCCUCAAUAGACGCACCUGAGCCACGGAGGCUAGAGGGUCAGAACUGCUCAUUUUUGCAAAUAGCCUGACUCCAUCAGGUUUUAAUUAGCAUGAAGUAUGGCAAACCCAUUCUGUUCAAGAGGUUGGUAAAUGAAAAUCGGAUUAAGAUCUGUUGUAUAACCUUAGGCUACAUAGGAUUUUUCCUAAUCCCAGCUAGAGGCUAGUAUAUCCUAAUUCUUGCAGAAAAGGAGUCUUGAGGUUUUGUGGGUUUUUUUUUCUUUUUGGCCAUAUCCUACCCCUCUCCCUAAAAAUAAAACCUUAAGUACACGAUUCACCCAAAAAUUAAAGGGAAAGGGAAAAUAAUUGCAUUUGCUGUGCAUGUAACUUGGAACCAAUAUAUGCUAAAGAGAGAAGGUAAUUUGGGAGGACCCUUGACUCAGAUGCUCAGUAGAAGAAACAGCAUCACAUCGCAGAUGGACAGCCGUGGGCUCAAAACACAGCUCUGCAGCCACUUUUGAGCUGCAGCUUUGGGUAAGUUCAUUGUCGUUUCUGAGCCUCUAUUUUCUUUUCAUUCAAAUAGUAGUUUAGUACUUACAUUUCUCCAUUUCUUCAAAGUAGGAAAUCAGUAAAACACUACUCUCACCUCAGCUAGAAUUCGACGAGAUGAUGACUGCGGAGAUCAAGCCCGGUAACGAGGACAACGCCCACCAUGUUCCUGCCCAAGGGAGGCCGUGCCAGCCGAGGGUACCCUAUGCACAGGGCCAGUGGGGCUCCAAACAGCCAGCACCUGCCACGUGAGUGAGAUUUCAUUUUCAUCUGAAGAUGCUGACUCUCUAUCAGACUCUUAUCACCACACCAAGGUUCAUACAAAUGUCCAUUUUUCACAGAGCCGUAGAUUUAGAGCAGCAGUCCCCAAAUCUGGAUUAUCAGAAUCCCUGGGGGUGGGGGUAGAUUCCUGGGCUUCGCCUUCAAACCAGCUGCAGCAGAACCUGGGAGCGGGAGGGAGGGAGCCCUGAAUCCCACGUCCCCAUCCUGAGCCAGUCAGCCAGGUUGAGGGGAUGUCAGCUGCUGAAGAAAAUCUGCAUUGACCCAUGGACACCUGGGAGCUGGUUGAUGAGGGAACACACCCUAUUUCUGUUGCCAUCAUCUUUUUCCAGAAGGAACAGGCAGGAAAAUGGUUUGUUGAUUUGAGACCUCUGAUGUUAUAAAGCUUAGAUAAAUGUCACGUCCUUCCAAUUGCCUUUGCCAAGUGAUCAUUACGUGACGUUAAACACACAUACACACACUCUCACACGCACCAGAAUUAGCUAGCUUGACCUUGCCAAGCAAAUAGUGAAGAAAAAGAAGUAAUAUAAACAGGCCAGAAUGGGAAAUAAAGAGAUAAAAAGCUUUGGUUAAAAUGGGUGCAGAAUUCUGGAACACCAGCAAUGUUAACAUGCUCAUCAAAUGCCCCUGGCAUAGCUGAGGCACUUCGGAGGCAACAGCAGGUAACCGGGCCCUGAGCGGAGAGGGAGGGGCAGCUGUGAUGUGUGAGCCCCCUGUUCUGGGGCACGUGGGGGCUGGGAUCCAGUGCAGGCCACCCACCAGGUGGCCACCCACAUACUCUGUUCUGGGGCUGCCUUUGCCCAGGGAAAGGGGGACUUUCUUGAGCUCACAAAAGGCUCCGUCCCAGGAAAGGCCCGAUUGUUUCCCUUGCAGAAGGUGCUGCGUGCUCUAGCUCUGUGUGUCAAGAUCUGAAAGAGAGACGGUGCGGUGCGUAGAUGAGCGGACAAGAAGAGGGAGGUGGGCGGGGCAGGGCCACCUGGACCUGUGUGCUUCUGCUGGACUUGCAGUUUACUCUGGAUGGAUGGGGGAGGGGAGGAGGGGACAAGCAGGAGAGUGACAGGCUCUGAGUCGUGUUUUAG
ensembl:lncRNA